rnacentral:rRNA from 1 species
GCAUAUCAAUAAGCGGAGGAAAAGAAACCAACAGGGAUUGCCUCAGUAACGGCGAAGUGAAGCGGCAACAGCUCAAAUUUGAAAUCUGGCCCUUUCAGGGUCCGAGUUGUAAUUUGGAGAAGAUGCUUCGGGUGUGGCCCCGGUCUAAGUUCCUUGGAACAGGACGUCAUAGAGGGUGAGAAUCCCGUACGUGACCGGUGGCCUCCCCCGUGUGAAGCUCUUUCGACGAGUCGAGUUGUUUGGGAAUGCAGCUCAAAAUGGGUGGUAAAUUUCAUCUAAAGCUAAAUAUUGGCCAGAGACCGAUAGCGCACAAGUAGAGUGAUCGAAAGAUGAAAAGCACUUUGGAAAGAGAGUUAAACAGUACGUGAAAUUGUUGAAAGGGAAGCGCUUGCAACCAGACUUGCGCGCGGCCGAUCAUCUGGUGUUCUCACCGGUGCACUCGGCCGCGCUCAGGCCAGCAUCGGUUUGGGUGGCUGGAUAAAGGCCUCGGGAAUGUGGCUCUCUUCGGGGAGUGUUAUAGCCCGAGGUGCAAUGCAGCCUACCCGGACCGAGGACCGCGCUUCGGCUAGGAUGCUGGCGUAAUGGUUGUAAGCGACCCGUCUUGAAACACGGACCAAGGAGUCUAACAUCUAUGCGAGUGUUUGGGUGUCAAACCCAUACGCGUAAUGAAAGUGAACGGAGGUGAGAACCCUUAAGGGUGCAUCAUCGACCGAUCCUGAUGUCUUCGGAUGGAUUUGAGUAAGAGCAUAGCUGUUGGGACCCGAAAGAUGGUGAACUAUGCCUGAAUAGGGUGAAGCCAGAGGAAACUCUGGUGGAGGCUCGCAGCGGUUUCUGACGUGCAAAUCGAUCGUCAAAUUUGGGGCAUAGGGGCGAAAGACUAAUCGAACCAUCUAGUAGCUGGUUCCUGCGA